GAUCCUGGCUCAAGAUAAACGCUAGCGGCAGGCCUAACACAUGCAAGUCGAGGGGCAGCGGGUGGAGUAUUUCGGUACUCCUGCCGGCGACCGGCGCACGGGUGCGUAACGCGUAUGCAACCUACCUUUAACAGGGGGGAUAAUCCGAAGAAAUUUGGUCUAAUACCCCAUAAUAUCAUUUAAGGCAUCUUAGAUGGUUGAAAAUUCCGAUGGUUAGAGAUGGGCAUGCGUUGUAUUAGCUAGUUGGUGAGGUAACGG
rnacentral:rRNA from 1 species